GGGCUCCCUUCAGCAGCAUACAUGCUAACACUAGAACGACACAGAGAAGAAGACAUGGCCCCUGUGCAAGAAUGGCCCAAAAAUCUGCAGUGUUCCCCUACAUUUUU
ensembl:snRNA U6 U6 spliceosomal RNA